AAUUAACAACCAACUUCUCACUUUAAUCCGUUUUCUCUUCAGAAAGAGCACCACCACGCAUACCACCACAUAUUUACUCUUCUUUUGGCAGUCUACUUACUUCACAGUCCCAACCUAAAAUCUUAAUCCUAAUUUUUGGUUAUAUUUUAGUCUGAGUUUGGAAUUGUUUAUUUUAUGGGCCGGGGUUUAGGUUUGUUGUAAGGGAUUAUGAUGCAGGGUUGUUUUGAUUUCUGGAAUAAACCAGAGAAUUGAGUUAAAACCCUAAUUUAUACUUGGUUUCGCUUGCCUAUCAAGAUGUUAAGGUAUUCAAAACCAGUGGAUCAAAUGAGAGCUACUGUAUUUGGCCAGUUGUUAGGUGAAGAUAGAGGGGAACAACAUCAAGAAAUCUGAAGCACCCUUCUAGAAAGUCCUCUUAAGUUGGAAAAGCUCAUAUACAGAAGUUAAGGUUGGUCAUUCUAGGGCUGCACAGGAACCGUCCCGUCCCGUGGAACCGUACCGGUACCGUCCCGGAACCGCAGCCAGAUGGGACAGAUACAAAUACCAAAAAUAGAUACCGUGUCUAGAGUAGGUACAAGUAACGGUUCUAGGCUAUUCCCUUCCCGUCCCGUAGUACCGAGGAUUUGAAUCCGUUGAUACUCGGGUACUGUUGCAUUACCAGAAUAGAAGUUGUUGUUUUAAAAUUAAAGCUAGAAAAUCCAAGAGAACACUAUACAUGCUCUCGAGGGCAGCAUGGGAGAAAUUGCUGCGGUAGUUAUUUUGGAGGUUUUAACAAUUCGAUCGAGGGGUCGACUUUUAACAGCAAUAAUGUUUGGGCGACUAUUCUUGAAAUAAACUGUCCAUAAAGUUCUUUCACAUUGCUAAUCAUGUGAAGUAUUUUCUCAGAACUAUUGCACUUUGAACUUUGCCUUUUAAUCAGAAAGCAACCUGCUUAAUAGUGUUUGCUUUUGCUCUCAUUUUGCAUCAAAUAAAAACCUGACAUGAGAAUUUCCUUUUGCAUGUGCACUUGUUAAAUAUUCUUAGCAGCCAAUCUGAACCCUGUACUACGACUUACAGUUCACGUAGAGAUUUGCAUUUUAUCACGACAGAGUUGAGUUUUCUUCUUCGUCUUAGACAGCUCAGUUAAAAACUCCACAGAUCUAUACUUUAUAACUUAUUGCAUCUAUAAACGUGACCAUAGAUAUUUUAGUUGAGGACUAUGCUUUGCAUCUAGAAGUGUUUUUUUUUUUUUUUACAUAUGCUACAGGUAAAGAACCGGUUCCGUCCCGUCCCGUCCCGAUUUAAACAGGUACAGGUCCCGUCCCGUACUUCAUGGGGUACAGGUACAAGUACAAGGUACAAGUACCGACCAUAGGAAGGUACAGGUACUGAGCCAGGCAAAAACCCGUACCGUCCCGUCCCAUGUGCAGCCCUAGGUCAUUCUAUAACCUUUAAGCACACAUCACGUUCUUUUGGUUUGUACGCAUCAUUGUUACUAAAUGAAAGAAAUUUAGAAGCUAAAUUAGUAUAAAUGCUCACUUUCUUCUGAAAUUGAUUAUAGGUGUAUUGUUUCUAUUUAGGCAUAAUCUUAUUAAAUAAGCAUGAAGAUUGUUUUAAAUCCUUGCAUAGGCAAUUGGUAUUAAAGAUCAUGUUCGUCAUGGUGACAAGGAAUCUGUUGCAAUCUGUAGGGUUGUCGGGAUCAUGAUGAGGAUGGUUACAGGAGGCAGCAUAACCAAUGCAAAGCCAAUUGCAGCAGAAUGUGGAUUCUGACUGAUAUUACUCUCCCGUUUGGUGAAGUCGCUGUUGUGGGUGGCGAUGGUUCAAAUGACGCUACAACGUCUCAUGAAGCAGAUAUUGGACUCGCAAUGGGGAAAUUAUUGCACUAUGAUGGCGAAAAGUUCAUCAGAACAUGGGAGUAUUACUUUGUAGACUGUGCUGCGGGGUUUAAACACACACUGGGAGUCUAUCAGGUAAAAAUGCAUUACAACGGGGAGAGGAAAAGCACAAAAAAUGUUAACGAACCAUAUAACAAUUGGCAUGUUUGGAAGAAAAUGUUAAUGUUACAUUGCGACGGGUAGAGGCGAAGCUGUCCGACACCAAAUCAAAAAUGCAUCGGGAUCCGCCUCGCCACACCAAAUCAUAAAUGCAUGACGGGGCGAGGCGAAGCCACAUCACACCAUAUCAUGGUUAAAAGAAAAGGAUGCCCAAUACGUAGAUGAAUGACCGUACAUUAAAUCUGGAAGAGAAGAUGUUUAGAUGGAGUUGAGUUUUAUAAUGAGGAUUUGUAGUUGUUAGUGCUGAAAGGAUAUGAUUGAAAGAAGAGUUGAGUUAUGGUCAGUGGUUGAGCUGGCUUUGCAGGCAUGUUGCAUUGCAGCCGGAACAAGGAAGAAAUCAAGCAACAAUAAAGAUAAGGCUGAAUGUAUAUAUAAAAAUUUAUUGAUUUGUAAGGAUUGAAAUUUGCUAGUAAUCAUAUAAAACUGUGGAGCAUCAAACUAAAAACAUGGUGUAUCGUUUGCGGACC